UUUUGUGAAGAACGACUAAUGAAAAUUUUAGACAAUCGAAUAUGAGUCUUGCGUGAGAGCAACAUUCCUUUUAUCAAGGUGAUGUGACAUUGUUAUGGAGUCAAAGAAGCCAUAUGGGAGUUGGAAUCCGAAGUACGUUUGAAGUAUCUAACUUGUUUUCUUCUUCAUGUGUGUGGUGAAUUUCGGGGACGAAAUUCCUUAAGGUGGGGAGAUUGUAGAGACCCGUCCCUAAUUUUUAUUUAUUUAUUUACGGUGUGGUUACAUGGAAUUAUGAGUAGAUAAUUUUGUGCGCAAUCAAUUUUAUUUUAUAUAUGUAUAUAUAUGUUUGGUCGUGCGGGCCCGAGUUCGUGGGCCAUAGGACGAGAGUGUUGGGGGACCCGCGGUGGGUAACUUUUAUGAGUAGUUACUCUUUAUUUUUAUAGCUCAUGGGGUAUUAGUGUAGCUACAUAUUAAAUUCUACGACUUGAGAAAGUGCUGAAGGUAGUCGAGGGGUUGUAGUGUAAUAACUACACUUAAAGGAUCCGAGAGACCCGGCCGAUUCUCAUUUCUUCUUUUUUCUUUUUCCUGCGUCUUCUAUGUCUAUUUUCUCUCCCUCUCUCAAACCCUCAUGGUUCAAAUGCAAAAUUGAAGGCCAAGGUUCGAGAAUCUCGCAACAAGGCAAGAAGAAAACGUGAUCUACGGACAAAGGGCUACACAUCUAUCCGAACAAAAUCCCAAUUGGUCAAAUUCGGGAUUUCAUCAAUUUGGGGAUUUCUCUCUUUGAGGUUUCGAGAUGGAUCCAAAGGCUUAAGAAUCAUGGUUAUGUUCUAGUUCUUUUUUAGAAUUUAAUUGGAUAGUUGUACAUUUUUGUUUGUAAGGUUAUCGAGGCAUGUAAACUUUAAUUUUAUUUUGGGAAUGUAAAAUUGUAGAUUGAAAGAACGGGGCCUGGAUGUGCGUAA